ensembl:lncRNA
AUGUAUACAUAUUGUUUUAGAUUGUUUCUUGUGGUAGUGAUGACGACGAGAUAUGUGCAAAGAGGAAACCACAAGGUCAUCAUCAUUGCUGCACUUCACAAUUCUUCAGACUCCUGGACGACAGAUGUAGACAUGGCACUGUCUCGAAUGAUAACAUUUGGGUUGUGUCUAGUCUUAAUAGAUUGUUUAAAUGGACAAAUUACGCACCCUGAUCCUAUGACAAUGAAGGCAAUUGGUAGAGCAGCUCGAAUCCAAUGCAAAGUGGAUACAUCGACCCUUCAGUCCAACGUUGUCCACUGGUACAGAGCUCCAUUAAACGGAGCUCUCAAACGAUUAAUGUAUUUCGAAGCUGGUUCGUCAAAGGCCACAAAAGACAGCGAUACCCCCCGUAAAUUUUCUGGAACGGUGAAAGGUGAUGAAGUGGCACUGACUAUCUCAAAUGUACAGCGCGAUGAUGAGGGAUAUUAUUACUGCGCGCGCUGGAGUGGAGACAACACAGUGCUAACUAUGAGAGGAAAUCAUUACAAAAACCUGCUUUCAUCAUCAAAGGACAUUAAUACGGAACAGCAGCAAGGAGGACACAUUAGACAUAAUUUUGCUUUUUGUUGUCAAGAUUUAAUUAAAGAAUUAGGUUAAAUGUUCCAAAAGUGUAUUGUCUCAGAAGAAAGAAGCACAAUUUACAAUGUUUGCUAGACAGGCCACUGUACCAUAUUGACUGUUAACAAUAAUAAAUAAUCUUCUGCUAAUUAAAAUGUGAUUUUGUUUCAACACAAAUUAUUACUUCAUUUUUAUAUGUCUUACAUUCAAAUUCUAUUUUUUUUUCUAAAAUGUCUUUUAUGAAUAGGUUUUCCUUUUAUUUUAUGUGUCACAGUUUCACAACUCAAUCUUAAUUUUCAAUCAUUUUCAUCUUAAUCAUAUUACAUUUGUUUUAAUCUUAAUCAUAAUAACUAUAUUGACAAUUAUUUCAUUUUAUUUUAUAUAAAAAGCUGUGGCUAACUGCUUUCACAAUCAACAUGUUUGCCUAUAAUAAAGCUCUAUUAAAUAUUUAUGGACAUGGUUACAAAAAAGAUAAAGGCAAAGAAGAAAAAUAUGAGAUGAGAUGUGUGAAGAAAAAAAGCACUUAAACAAUUGAUGGAACAGAAUAUUUUUAUUAAGCUUUAUUAAGUCUCCAAAAAGUGUGAAAAUAUUGUUUGACUGUGUGCAUUUAUAGUAAAAAAAAAAAGAAAGAAAAAAUGACAUAUGGAUGAAAUUUGUUAGAGGCCUUUCCUUAAUGUUCUUUCAAUCCAAUUAUGGAUAUACUGAGAGGUGCAUCCCUGUCAAGGCUAGUAAACUGUAUAGCAGUGCAGUCGGCAGCUUUAUUCAUGAUACCAACAAUCCCCAAGCAAAUUACUUCUCUGUGGACAGAACACAGCUUUAUAACCUAAAACUGAGCAACACAAAACUGAUUCAUGUUGCCGUUUACUUCUGUGCCUACUGGGACUUAAACAACCACAGUGAAAACAUUCACACACAGGUGCAUCUCAAUAAAUUAGAAUGUCAUGGAAAAGUUUAUUUAUUUCAGUAAUUCAACUCAU